ACCCGCGUCCGCGAAGCCCCCACCGCUAGGUCCGUCCAAUUGAAGCUCCGUCGGUCGUCGUUCGAUCACCGGCAUUCAGGAGCAGAGGGAAUCCGCUGGUCUUCACGGUGGCUGUCGCAGAUCGCGCCACUGCAGAUCUGUCGGUGGUUCCGUCCGUCGCUCGUUGUGCGGUCGCGGGCACUGCCGUCCACCACGCUCUGGUCUGCGUUGCGCCGCCGCAGUCGAUUUGUUUGAGAAGCAGCUCCAUGAAUUGACGAAUGCACAACUAUAUUACAGCUCCAUGAAUUGACGAAUGCACAACUAUAUUACAGCUCCAUGAAUCGAUGGGUUCACAACUACAUUACAACUUUGUGAAUUGACGAGUUCACAACUACAUUACAACUCCGUGAACUAAUGGGUUCACAACCAUUAUGUUAUAGCUCUGUGGAUCAAUGCAUUCACACCGUAUGAGUUUUGGAGGUGUUAAAGUGCCAUCCAUCGGAUUUGGAAUUCGUUCUUGGUGAAUUUUGCUUUGAAUUAUUGAUUAAAGUUUGGAAUUUACGUGGUAUCAAGCUACGUUUGGGGAUUGGUACAAGGAAUUUUACUCAAGGAUAAAGAACAGUUUGGAUUUCAUUUUGCUUGGACAUAAAUUGAGAUAAGGGCAAAUAUAAGCUGGCGAAUGAGGGGAGGAAUUCGUUUGUUGUGCCAUUGGGACUUGAUUUCAACACUUCCGCUUAGUUUAUAUGUUUUCUAUUAUUUAAUGUUUUGAACAACUCGACGUUAAAUAAAGUUUUAAAUAUUACUUUUAUUUAUUUGUCAUGAAUGAUUUUAGAGGACCUUGAAUUAUGAAUUUUGGUUCGAGUUAAUCUCGCUCUUUGUAAAUAGUUUCGAAGUUGUCAUAUUUAUUUUAAACAUAUUUAUGCACUA